UGGGCUUGAACUGCAUUGGACCGGUCUAGAGAUAGGCCUUUCAGCAAUGACUGAUGCAG
rnacentral:rRNA from 1 species